AGGACGAACGCUGGCGGCGUGCUUAACACAUGCAAGUCAAGGGGACCCGCAAGGGUAACCGGCGAACGGGUGCGUAACACGUGAGCAACCUACCGAGAUCUGGGGGAUAGCCGGCCCAACGGCCGGGUAAUACCGCAUACGCUCUUUCCACGGCAUUGUGGAUUGAGGAAACCUCCGGGGGAUUUCGAGGGGCUCGCGGCCUAUCAGCUAGUUGGCGAGGUCACGGCUCACCAAGGCGACGACGGGUAGCUGGU
rnacentral:rRNA from 1 species